CCUUAUUGCCGAGGGAGCGGAAGUCAGUGCUGCACCGCUGAUGCACUUCCGGCCGGCAGCCAUUUUCCUAAAGCCUUGCAUAAAAGGAGCAGUGCCACCAGAUCCUCUCAGUUUGCCAAAAGUCUGUGAGUGGAGUAGCAUGGCGGAACAGGCAAGCACGAGGUCGGAGAGUCCCAAGAUGGCGCCAGAGACCCGGAAAGUUGCUGUGGCGCAAAUGUUUCAGGAGCUGGCAGAUCGUCUACAGCAUAUCUCCAUCGGGGCCGAAGAGGCCUGCUACCAAGUCUCACUGCCUGAGGACAAUGGAGACUGGCCAGCAACCCCGGCGGAGGGAACGCCGGCAUCAUCCCAAAGAUCAUCGCCAGUGAGGCUGUGCUCUCACCACCGGACAUGGGGAUCCUGGGCAGAGAUCCAUACAGAGGAGUCAGACGUGAGUACCCCGGCUGAGGCCACUUUCUCUACCCCUUCUUCUACCCCUAGCCUUGAGCAAACCCCCCAAGUCCAGAAGCUUGUAGUACAUCCCCGGUCACCACCGUUGCCCCGGUGGCUAUUUGGCGAUGAGCCGCAAGUUAUCCAAAUAUAUGCGACAGUAUCUUCUACCCUUGCUGUCCUCUAAAGUAAGAGGAAGAGGUUUACUUUCCCGAGCCACCUGACAUGGCACCAAAGUCCCUGCACAAGUCAUCUACAGAUGUGCCCAGGCCUACUCCUAUGGUGGAGGGGGUUUGGCCAGCCCAACAGGCACCAAAGGCUGCAGUGCAAAUGGUGGUUACCAUCAGCCCCACAAUUACCGAGAAUACCUUAUCCCGGGUAAACUGGAAUAACCGAGUGAGUCCAUUGGAGGGGGCUGAGUCCUGUGGACCCCGUUAUAUGUCCCAGCCUCAGAAGCAGUCCGACAGGCGAGGCUGGGAUGGCAAAUAUCCAGGCUGAAGCGUCUACAUGGGAUAACUUUGCUACUAAGUCACUAACUUUGUUUUGUGAAGUAUUAUUGUUGUUUUCAGGUUCCUGCAACCUUUAAGAAAAGUGCCUGGUGGACUCAUCCAGACCUCCUCUACCCAUUUGCGGUACUCUACUGGCCAGAGGGUUCCCCUGAAGCAUUGGUGAAACCCAUAUAGAGGCAGAGUUACCAUGCAUAGGAAUGUAGAUGUCUAGCAUUUCCUGUGGAUUUAUGAAACAUCAAAUCUACAUGCAGCCUUGAAGAAAUAGCAGUGGUUGUAGUGUCUGUCUCCAUCAUCAUUCAGACUGAAUAGAACUUUCCUCCCCCCACUUCUUGUUCCUAGCUACAUGUGAAGGGGCUGCUGCAGCCCAAGGCUGUACAGGACAAAUGGGUUUUGGAAGGAGAACAUAUCCCUUCAGGGAAGAACACCAGCAUUGCAGGUCAAACCAACACUCAAGUAUAUAAAGAAUGACACAUCGGGACAGAGCAUUGCUAGAUAACAGAGAACUGAUAGGAAAAAAAGAAUUUCAUCAGCUAAAAUAGCUGCUAUAAAACAAACAAACAAUAUCAAUGCAGGGAAACAACAUAAGAAAAAAAAUUCUGAGAACAGUUUUUAUGGCUUAUAUUAAUUAAAUGUAUGUAUGUAUGUAGCAUGUAUGUAUUAUUAUUUUUUUCCCCAAUGUAAGCUAUGUUCACACAUCGGAAUGUCCGCAUGGAAAAUCUCAUUGCGGACAUUCUGCAAACUGCAGGCGCUGGCAUAACAGGAAAGCGCCAUCUCAUAGACUGCUAUGCAUUCCGUGUAGAGUCCCCAGAACAGGUUCAUCUUUCUGCGGACACAGAAAACGGAAUUUCCAUGGCAGAUGUUUCUGCCGUGUGCACAGUGCAGCACAAUCCCAGUGAAUUCAGAAUUACGCAUGGAAAAGGUAACUAAAAUACAGAAACGUUUUUUAAGAAAAAAAUUUAUGCCAGACAACAGUCAUAUGAAGCUUGAUAAAUCCCCCGUUGCUAACUGCCCGGCACAGCACCAUGAUUACAUUUUACCUGCCUACAUUGGCCAUGGGGAAAGUGUUCUGCACUAUCAGUCAGAGCUGUAUACUGUAAAUACAUUAGUGGCAAGCCUCCUCAUCUGAUGGUUGCCAGCAGACAGCAAUAGGGCCCUAUUAGGCCAAGUUCACACUACAGAAUUCCUGAGCGGAAUUCAACUAUGAAAUUUAUUUUGAAAAUUCCGGUGAACAGAAGCAGAGUCCCCUUGCUGUCAAUGGGAUUUCGCUGCACAGAGCACAUGAAGGCAUUUCUGUGGCAAAGCUUUCUGCCAGUUUCAUCCCUCGAAAUAUUGAUCAUCUUUCAGCGGAAUCCCUGCAAAAUACAUUGCCCUCUACAGGGAUUCAGACGACACCGGCUGCCCCCU